AGACAUUGAAUCUAAUUAUUUUAGUAACGUAGUUUAUUAUAACAUACAGGGAGGCUUGCUAAAUUACUAUAUUUUUUUGCAUAUUAACAAAAUCAUUAAUAUUAACCGUGGGAUACAAGCCAUAAAACAAACUGACCCGUUAGAUCAUCUCCUAACCAAUCACCUUUUCCCUCGCCUCUUUCCUCCAAACUCAUAUUUCCCAACCAAAAACCUACUAAACUCAUGUUGCUCCCUCCUUCCAUCCUCCAUUCCUCCUUGCCAGCUGCCUCAAUCGGGAUUCGGCAACCACCGCGUAGGCCCAUCGCUAGCAAAACACAUUGCCAUCAUCAUCUAAUCUAUAAACACCGGUUAGCCGUCUCCACUUCCCAAAACUUCAGAUCCUCGCAGCUGCCGUCUCCAGAUCCUCUUAAACCAACCCCCACCAACUCCAAAUUCGCCUUCUUCGACACCUCUGACGAUGUCCAAGACAAGAAGUAGCCGACGAUUUGCUUGACAAGAUGGUGUUGUUAUUGUUGGAGGUGUUGUACUCGUGCAUAUUUUUUGUAAUUCCAUUGCUAUUUCCUAUGCACUUUUUUUUGUUUUUGUUGUUUCUGUGCAUUUUUUUUUUGUUAUUUUCCUGUAAUUUUGAUUUUGAUUUCAUAUUUAAUUAGUUAAUUUAAGUAA